GACGAACGCUGGCGGCGUGCUUAACACAUGCAAGUCGAACGAAGUGCCGCACGGGUGAGUAAGGCGUAAUCAACCCGCCCUUCAGAGGGGGACAACAGUUGGCAACGACUGCUAAUACCGCCUACUGAAGGAGGGGAUUGCGUCGGAUUAGCUAGUUGGCUGGGUAACGGCCCACCAAGGCGAUGAUCAGUAGCCGGUCUGAGUGGGUGAACGGCGACGUGUGGACUGGAAAGCGGCCCAGACUCCUGCUGGGGGGAGCAGUUGGGGAUCUGACGCAAAAGAGGGAAGGCUGACGGAGGGACGCCGCGGGAGUGAUGGCGGCCUGCUGGGUGGAAAGAUCUGUCAAUCGGGACGCGGUACCGGAAUAGAAAGCCACGGCUAACUCCGUGCCAGCAGCCGCGGUAAUUC
rnacentral:rRNA from 1 species